GAUUGAACGCUGGCGGCAGGCCUAACACAUGCAAGUCGAGCGGUAGCACAGAGAGCUUGCUCUCGGGUGACGAGCGGCGGACGGGUGAGUAAUGUCUGGGAAACUGCCUGAUGGAGGGGGAUAACUACUGGAAACGGUAGCUAAUACCGCAUAACGUCGCAAGACCAAAGUGGGGGACCUUCGGGCCUCAUGCCAUCAGAUGUGCCCAGAUGGGAUUAGCUAGUAGGUGGGGUAACGGCUCACCUAGGCGACGAUCCCUAGCUGGUCUGAGAGGAUGACCAGCCACACUGGAACUGAGACACGGUCCAGACUCCUACGGGAGGCAGCAGUGGGGAAUAUUGCACAAUGGGCGCAAGCCUGAUGCAGCCAUGCCGCGUGUGUGAAGAAGGCCUUCGGGUUGUAAAGCACUUUCAGCGGGGAGGAAGGCGUUAAGGUUAAUAACCUUGGCGAUUGACGUUACCCGCAGAAGAAGCACCGGCUAACUCCGUGCCAGCAGCCGCGGUAAUACGGAGGGUGCAAGCGUUAAUCGGAAUUACUGGGCGUAAAGCGCACGCAGGCGGUCUGUCAAGUCGGAUGUGAAAUCCCCGGGCUCAACCUGGGAACUGCAUUCGAAACUGGCAGGCUAGAGUCUUGUAGAGGGGGGUAGAAUUCCAGGUGUAGCGGUGAAAUGCGUAGAGAUCUGGAGGAAUACCGGUGGCGAAGGCGGCCCCCUGGACAAAGACUGACGCUCAGGUGCGAAAGCGUGGGGAGCAAACAGGAUUAGAUACCCUGGUAGUCCACGCCGUAAACGAUGUCGAUUUGGAGGUUGUGCCCUUGAGGCGUGGCUUCCGGAGCUAACGCGUUAAAUCGACCGCCUGGGGAGUACGGCCGCAAGGUUAAAACUCAAAUGAAUUGACGGGGGCCCGCACAAGCGGUGGAGCAUGUGGUUUAAUUCGAUGCAACGCGAAGAACCUUACCUGGUCUUGACAUCCACAGAACUUUCCAGAGAUGGAUUGGUGCCUUCGGGAACUGUGAGACAGGUGCUGCAUGGCUGUCGUCAGCUCGUGUUGUGAAAUGUUGGGUUAAGUCCCGCAACGAGCGCAACCCUUAUCCUUUGUUGCCAGCGGUUCGGCCGGGAACUCAAAGGAGACUGCCAGUGAUAAACUGGAGGAAGGUGGGGAUGACGUCAAGUCAUCAUGGCCCUUACGACCAGGGCUACACACGUGCUACAAUGGCAUAUACAAAGAGAAGCGACCUCGCGAGAGCAAGCGGACCUCAUAAAGUAUGUCGUAGUCCGGAUUGGAGUCUGCAACUCGACUCCAUGAAGUCGGAAUCGCUAGUAAUCGUAGAUCAGAAUGCUACGGUGAAUACGUUCCCGGGCCUUGUACACACCGCCCGUCACACCACGGGAGUGGGUUGCAAAAGAAGUAGGUAGCUUAACCUUCGGGAGGGCGCUUACCACUUUGUGAUUCAUGACUGGGGUGAAGUCGAACAAGGUAACC
rnacentral:rRNA from 1 species